AAGACUUUACUUUAGUCAGAGAAAUAUUUUACUCCAAUAAAAUCACAUUAUUAAAAAAAGUCACGUUAUUUCUCUUAUCAAGUUAUAAACGAUGAACACAUUACUAGAAUUUAAAAUGAGGUUUUAUGGAGUUCCCGCUGUGGUGUAAUGGGUUAAAGGGUCCUUUGUUGCCAGCACAGGUCACAGGUGUGCCUCAGGUGUGGCCAUAAAAAAAAAAA